UACGUAGGGGCCUAGCGUUGUCCGGAUUUAUUGGGCGUAAAGAGCUCGUAGGCGGUUCGGUAAGUCAGGUGUGAAAUCUCCACGCUCAACGUGGAGGCGCCACCUGAAACUGCCGUGACUCGAGUCCGGUAGGGGAGUGUGGAAUUCCUGGUGUAGCGGUGAAAUGCGUAGAUAUCAGGAGGAACACCUGUGGCGAAAGCGGCUCACUGGACCAUAACUGACGCUGAUGCACGAAAGCUAGGGGAGCAAACAGG
rnacentral:rRNA from 1 species